ensembl:snRNA U6 U6 spliceosomal RNA
AAAAAAAAAGAAAUGAUACAGAGAAAAUUAGCACAGCCCCUGAGGAAGGAUAACAUGCAAAUUUGUGAAAUGUUCACCAUAUUU